rnacentral:rRNA from 1 species
UACGAAGGGGGCUAGCGUUGCUCGGAAUCACUGGGCGUAAAGGGUGCGUAGGCGGGUCUUUAAGUCAGGGGUGAAAUCCUGGAGCUCAACUCCAGAACUGCCUUUGAUACUGAAGAUCUUGGGUACGGGAGAGGUGAGUGGAAUUCCGAGUGUAGAGGUGAAAUUCGUAGAUAUUCGGAAGAACACCAGUGGCGAAGGCGGCUCACUGGCCCGUUACCGACGCUCAGGCGCGACAGCGUGGGGAGCAACAGG